rnacentral:rRNA from 1 species
CAAUUUAAACAACGAAGAGUUUGAUCCUGGCUCAGGAUGAACGCUAGCGACAGGCUUAACACAUGCAAGUCGAGGGGCAGCACAGGUAGCAAUACCGGGUGGCGACCGGCGCACGGGUGAGUAACGCGUAUGCAACUUGCCUAUCAGAGGGGGAUAACCCGGCGAAAGUCGGACUAAUACCGCAUGAAGCAGGGAUCCCGCAUGGGAAUAUUUGCUAAAGAUUCAUCGCUGAUAGAUAGGCAUGCGUUCCAUUAGGCAGUUGGCGGGGUAACGGCCCACCAAACCGACGAUGGAUAGGGGUUCUGAGAGGAAGGUCCCCCACAUUGGUACUGAGACACGGACCAAACUCCUACGGGAGGCAGCAGUGAGGAAUAUUGGUCAAUGGGCGUAAGCCUGAACCAGCCAAGUCGCGUGAGGGAUGAAGGUUCUAUGGAUCGUAAACCUCUUUUAUAAGGGAAUAAAGUGCGGGACGUGUCCCGUUUUGUAUGUACCUUAUGAAUAAGGAUCGGCUAACUCCGUGCCAGCAGCCGCGGUAAUACGGAGGAUCCGAGCGUUAUCCGGAUUUAUUGGGUUUAAAGGGUGCGUAGGCGGCCUUUUAAGUCAGCGGUGAAAGUCUGUGGCUCAACCAUAGAAUUGCCGUUGAAACUGGGGGGCUUGAGUAUGUUUGAGGCAGGCGGAAUGCGUGGUGUAGCGGUGAAAUGCAUAGAUAUCACGCAGAACCCCGAUUGCGAAGGCAGCCUGCCAAGCCAUUACUGACGCUGAUGCACGAAAGCGUGGGGAUCAAACAGGAUUAGAUACCCUGGUAGUCCACGCAGUAAACGAUGAUCACUAGCUGUUUGCGAUACACUGUAAGCGGCACAGCGAAAGCGUUAAGUGAUCCACCUGGGGAGUACGCCGGCAACGGUGAAACUCAAAGGAAUUGACGGGGGCCCGCACAAGCGGAGGAACAUGUGGUUUAAUUCGAUGAUACGCGAGGAACCUUACCCGGGUUUGAACGCAUUCGGACCGAGGUGGAAACACCUUUUCUAGCAAUAGCCGUUUGCGAGGUGCUGCAUGGUUGUCGUCAGCUCGUGCCGUGAGGUGUCGGCUUAAGUGCCAUAACGAGCGCAACCCUUGCCACUAGUUACUAACAGGUAAAGCUGAGGACUCUGGUGGGACUGCCAGCGUAAGCUGCGAGGAAGGCGGGGAUGACGUCAAAUCAGCACGGCCCUUACAUCCGGGGCGACACACGUGUUACAAUGGCGUGGACAAAGGGAAGCCACCUGGCGACAGGGAGCGAAUCCCCAAACCACGUCUCAGUUCGGAUCGGAGUCUGCAACCCGACUCCGUGAAGCUGGAUUCGCUAGUAAUCGCGCAUCAGCCAUGGCGCGGUGAAUACGUUCCCGGGCCUUGUACACACCGCCCGUCAAGCCAUGGGAGCCGGGGGUACCUGAAGUCCGUAACCGCGAGGAUCGGCCUAGGGUAAAACUGGUGACUGGGGCUAAGUCGUAACAAGGUAGCCGUACCGGAAGGUGCGGCUGGAACACCUCCUUUCU